rnacentral:rRNA from 1 species
UACGUAGGGGGCAAGCGUUGUCCGGAAUCAUUGGGCGUAAAGCGCGCGUAGGCGGCCCGAUAAGUCUGCUGUGAAAGUCCAGGGCUCAACCCUGGAAUGCCGGUGGAUACUGUCGGGCUAGAGUCCGGAAGAGGCAAGUGGAAUUCCUGGUGUAGCGGUGGAAUGCGCAGAUAUCAGGAGGAACACCUAUAGCGAAGGCAGCUUGCUGGGACGACACUGACGCUGAGACGCGAAAGCGUGGGGAGCAAACAGG